rnacentral:rRNA from 1 species
UCGCUGGUUUGUGGUUUCGUUUGCUGAGGGGCCCUUGAUGAACCGAAGGAAGGAGCGCGCGGCGCUGGCGGCGGGCGGCCGCUACCUCGGCGCCGGCGGCGGCAGCGGCAGCGGAAGAGGCCGCGGGGGGAGGAGGCGGCACGCCCAGGAGAGGGCGCGCGGAGGGGGGCGGAGGCGGGGGAGGGGCCGGCGCUGGCGACGGAGCGGCGGCGUGCUGCCGCCGCACCAGCAGCAGCCGAAGCACCCGCCGGGGCCCUCGCGGCGGCGCGCGGAGCGCCUGGCCUAGGAGCUGCGGGGGCAGAAGAGGGGGCCGCCGAGCCGGUCCUGGGAGCGGCCCCCGCAGUCCAUGGUGGCGCUGCCCCUGUUCUCCUACCAGAAGGAGGUGGAGCGGAGGGGCGGGGGCGGGGGCGGCGCCCUACGCCCGCCGCCCUCGUGGCCGCUGGAGGGCCUCUAUGAGAAGUACAAGAGCCAUACGGUACAUUAUUAUAAAGAGGUUCUUCCGAAGGCCAAGCUGUGCGUCUAGAACUUCUCAAAAUCCGACGACGUUAGAAGCUUCGUACGAAAACGUGGUAAACACUCUAGUGAUCAUCGUGGCCCUUGUGGUAGGUUUCGACGGGGAAGACCGUGUGGCCCCUGUGGUAGGUUUCGACGGGGAAGACCGUGUGGCCCCUGUGGUAGGUUUCGAUGGGGAAGACCGUGGGGCUGAGCCGGAUGGGCGUCCCGAAGUAGUUAGAGGGGAGGCCGUGCGGCACCUCCGGUAAGCCCGGCGGUCGGGAGUCGGUAGAGCAACUACAGUCCUUGGCCAAGCGUACGAAGACACAACGGUCCGGUUACGUAGGGACAACAGGAGAAACAGAAACUCCUACUAUAGUAACUACCAGGUUCACGACGUUGUUCAAACCUACUAUGCCCCCUCUGUAGAAGUAGUUUAGUCCGAAGACCGUGAAGUUUUCCAAGACCGAGUCACCAUUACGAGCGGGCUGGACGGUCGUUUUGACUCCCAUCAAAGUGUUUCUUCGACGUAAACAGAGACCUUCCAGUCUAGGCCAACAACGACUUCUCCACGGCCUGUGAAUGGCCAGACCUCAGCAGUCCCGUAUUACCAGGUUCCCCACGACCAUUGCACUCGGUAUAAGGAAACAAGAGUGAACUACGUAGGUCUCAACAACGGGACAACCUGGCGAGUUAAUUAUUCUUUGCCCUCGGUGACCUAUAGUAGCGUCCUGACAAACUUCUAAGAAAGUCGAGGUUCAGUAGCAACCUACAGCGAAGUAAUCUUUUAUUGACGGUUAGACGUUUGGUGCUUCUACAAGUCAACUAGUUCCUAAAAUAUAAAGCCGUCAGGCUACCUGACUCUCCCUUUCCGCCCAUAAGUCCGUUACGCAGACGACCGAGACAACGACCACAGCCAUACCACCGACGCCGUCGUCGACGUCGUCGACGUAGGCGUAGUAGACCCUUCGGUCAAUCACAAGGACUAGAGGGAUCAAAACUAUUUACCAAGAGGUAAUCAUGUAGAUAAGAUAGACCUGACUAAUCACGUUUUCUACCCUAGCUAUUAAGGCUUUCAUACUCCCCUAGUAGAUGAGUAUGUUCAAGACCAAACUUCUUACUUGUGAGAUCACGAUAACUUUGACGAAAUAGAACGAACCUUUCGUUGUUCCCCGAAUUGUACUUUAAAAGGAGUAGUACCACGGUUUUCCACGAAGGUCAACGAUUCCUCCACAUGAACUUUCUAAACGGACUGAAAAUGGGUUGAUCGCACGUACUUCACGUCGAUGUCUUUCGUAACUCUAGGAAAGUGAGUUGUCAGUUUCCUGGCCGACAGUUCCAUAAGAGGUUCUUCGAUCUUCUACUUACGUUCUGUUAGACCCUUCGACCUUCCGUCGUUACGCUACGACAGUCGGAAUGACCGUCCGGUACGUUCGUGGUCGCAGUACCAUUUAAUAGAAGUAGUCUACGACAGCUUGUCGUAAGAUCACCAAUGCAGAAGGAGGUACGUACACGGACACCUGCCAGUGCAGCGGAAUCUCUACUAGGAAAACUGAAACUCUGUCGGUUACAUAGUAAAUUGACGAAGAGGUUAACACUUCUAGAUGAUGGGUGGGAACACGAUGGCUCCCCCCAACUACGAUCAAGUAAAGGCCGUAGGAGAACCGCAAACCACGCGGAACCUCCUCGUUCUAUAAUGUUCGGUUGCUUUCCCAACGAGGUUCGACCUAAAACGAGUUUCCUGUUCAUAGAAAACUUCACCUGUUAUAGAGAACCGUUUCCUGUUCCUUUUUUACCGUGGGUACGACGGUGAUUUAGAAGGAGGUACUGUAGAUUACACUUGGGGGUCUAAGGUGGACGACAAAGAUCUCUUCAUUUCAGGUAAUGUUUGGUUCAGCGUGGUCUUUAAUCUAGACGCUUCGAACUUUUAGGGUCUUUUGUUGGACUUCACGUUAGUUGCUUGUCGAGUCGAUAGUCAAAACCAUUUCCAGUAGGUUUAAAAUGAUACUUUUUCGGAAAGCGACUUCAACAACGACCGUCGUGUUGAUUUCUAAGACUCAAAGGACGAGAGGUCGACUUCUCUGGUGGUUUUGGACGAUCGGCUUUUCUACUUGCCGUUCACUCGCAUCGUCUUGUCUGAUUACCGGCUUAGUUACGUCGAGAGUCAGUUCCUGGACAUCGACUUUUACUUAGACUCUUCUACUGGUUUUUAUACUCGUCACUUUGACGACUACCCUUCGGGAAAGAUGUCUAGCCCUCGUUGUAUCACGGUCAAUGACAACCUUUACUCUGAUUUCUUCGACGAGUUUGGCAUGUUGUCAAACAUCAUAUACACCCUAAACUCGUACUCACGAGCAUGCCAGUGGCAAAGAAUGACAGUCUCUUCAUAGAAUUCCUUUAACUAAUACUUUCUAGGAUAGUUUUGUUACUUAGUCUUUCAUUCGUAUCAAGUGUUUUCAACGGGGGUUUACGUAGAUUCAGCCGUCGUUGAUGUCAUUUACCUUUGUUACCCGCCUUUCGGUUAUCCGGUGACCUUAGUAGUCCCUCUUUAUCGUCCGUCGUUAACGAAGUCGGACCGCAACUACCCCUCUGCAACGCCGGACGAGUGUAAGGAAGUCUAGGUGCAUUACAGUCUUUCCCUCUCGUAAGAGAAGUUAUGCAAUGUCGGCUACUACCACCUCUUCGUAUAAGUGACAACUUGUCUUUAGACGGCUAUAUAUACGUGACGGGAGUAACGUUCUCGAGUCUGCCCUUCCCCGUAGUUCUACAUUUCCGACGACCACGACACAGUGUUGAAGUUGCCUAAAAAUAGCACUGUGGACUAAAGGGACAGGACAACCGAUCGACGGGUCAACAUGUCAAACUCUCCAGUACAGACGGUAGUUUACAUAGACUGGCACUAGUUGUUCCUAGCAAGUCGGAACCUACGGCUCAAGAGGAAGGUGGGCUCUCGAAAGAAUGGGACGCCGAAGGUAAGCAUAUGCCACGGCUCUGUUCCCUGCCUUCGUGUAGGGGGGAGUUUGUGGAGCUCGUCGUUGGUCUCGAGUGUCGUACCGAGCAGCCUCCGUGUCGAAACGUCUAGCACAGUCGGCCCGUGCAGCGGCUCUUUCUUCGGUUGCACGGCACUACGAGAACCCCUAGAUUCCAAAACUACUCACCAAGUCCGCAUUGAGAUGAGUGAAAGUCCUGCACGUACGUCGUCGGUCGUCAUACACAGGGCGUGAGUUCCGUAGCCUAAGGCCCAACGAACGGUCACAUACACCAACCGCAUCGUACCAAGGACAGUCUCCACAAGACGAAGACGAGGACCCUAAAUAAAUACGGCGGUUCGACAACUACAUCGAUGAUGUUCUUAUGACGUGUCGGUCUCUAUGUCGGAAAGGUACCUCUCUUUUUGCACCUUCGAGGUCCAGCGGCGGCGAGGAAGAUAAGGUCUCUAGACGCGGCGCGGCAUGGCGUGCGUUCUCACAGCUUUGUGUACCUCACAUUUCCGUCUCUCACCGCCCCGCCAGUGCCACCUCUGGUAGUCUACGGACUAGACGAGACGAAAGGAAAGAAAGUGAACGGUUUGUCGCCAAAAGUGCACUUGCCUCCUUAGUCCUGCCGCCACAACGUGCCAAAUCCGAGACAUUAAAUUGGCUAAAAGACUAACCCAGCGGCUAACGCCGUGCCAAAAAACGUAAUCUGUUUGCCGACACGAGACGAUGGAGUACUAGAAAAAGAACCGACCGACUUGACCCAAAAGAGGUUGCUUAAUAGACGUUAGUAGAGGAACAUAAACAAAAACUAUUCUGUUAGAUUUACUACAUUUAAAUGAGGCAUUAUUUUUUUUGAUAGAUUUUAUUUGGAUCGUUACAAUACG